UGGGAACGUGCCUUUUGGUUCGGAACAACACAGGGAAACUUGUGCUAAUACCGGAUAAGCCCUUACGGGAAAGAUUUAUCGCCAAAAGAUCGGCCCGCGUCUGAUUAGCUAGUUGGCGGGGUAAUGGCCCACCAAGGCGACGAUCAGUAGCUGGUCUGAGAGGAUGAUCAGCCACAUUGGGACUGAGACACGGCCCAAACUCCUACGGGAGGCAG
rnacentral:rRNA from 1 species